GGUGGGGUUCCCGAGCGGCCAAAGGGAGCAGACUGUAAAUCUGCCGUCAUCGACUUCGAAGGUUCGACUCGAGCGAAGCGAGAGAACGUUGCCGCAGGCAACGGCCCGAAGGGCGAGGCGCUUUAGCGCCGAGUAAUCCUUCCCCCACCACCA
rnacentral:tRNA from 1 species